AGCGAACGCUGGCGGCAGGCCUAACACAUGCAAGUCGAACGAAGUCUUCGGACUUAGUGGCGGACGGGUGAGUAACACGUGGGAACGUGCCUUUAGGUUCGGAAUAACUCAGGGAAACUGGAGCUAAUACCGGAUGGUUCCUACGGGAUAAAGAUUUAUCGCCAAAAGAUGAGUCCGCGUACGAUUAGCUAGUUGGCGGGGUAAUGGCCCACCAAGGCGACGAUCGUUAGCUGGUCUGAGAGGACGAUCAGCCACACUGGGGCUGAGACACGGCCCAGACUCCUACGGGAGGCAGCAGUGGGGAAUAUUGGACAAUGGGGGCAACCCUGAUCCAGCCAUGCCGCGUGAGUGAUGAAGGCCUUCGGGUUGUAAAGCUCUUUUGGCGGGGACGAUGAUGACGGUACCCGCAGAAUAAGCCCCGGCUAACUUCGUGCCAGCCGCCGCCGUAAAAC
rnacentral:rRNA from 1 species